UUUUGUGUCUUUUUAAAAAUAAUUUUGUGUCUUUUUUGGUCAAUUUGUGUCUUUUUUUAAAGUAAUUUAGAGUUUUUCAGUAAUUCUGUGUCUUUUUCUGUAAUUUUGUGUCUUUUUUUGGUCAUUUUUUGUCUUUUUUUUUGUAAUUUUGUGUUUUUUCAGUCAUUUUGUGUCUUUUUCUGUACUUUUGUGUCUUUUUUGGUCAUGUUUUGUCUUUUUUUGGUCAUUUUGUGUCUUUAUCAGUCAUUUUGUGUCUUUUUUGUAAAUUUGUGUCUUUUUUUGGUCAUUUUGAUACUGCCUCCAGCGGCCCCCAGGUAAUUUGAGUUUGAGACCCCUGGGUUAAAGUAAUUCAUUCUGGAACAAAACAGAUGACCAACAGACCAGAGCCACGCUGCUAACAUGGCUUAAAAUGGAGAACUUUGAAAAUUGUUUAUUUGUUUUUCAGUGUUGCACUCUGCACUUUUGAUUUCACAAUAAACAAGUAUCAGCCAUUUGUAGCACCAAUGAUACAUAAAUAAUAUAAACAUGUAAAUAUACUUUAUUACACCGAAUUAAACUGAAUGUAGAAAACCA